rnacentral:rRNA from 1 species
GUAGUCAUAUGCUUGUCUCAAAGAUUAAGCCAUGCAUGUCUAAGUAUACGCAAAUUAUACUGUGAAACUGCGAAUGGCUCAUUAAAUCAGUUAUAGUUUAUUUGAUGUUUCUUGCUACAUGGAUAACUGUGGUAAUUCUAGAGCUAAUACAUGCGUAAAAAGCCCCGACUUCUGGAAGGGGUGUAUUUAUUAGAUAAAAACCAUCCUCCUCGGAGUUUGGUGAUUCAUAAUAACUUCUCGAAUCGCACGGCCUUGUGCUGGCGAUGCUUCAUUCAAAUAUCUGCCCUAUCAACUGUCGAUGGUAGGAUAGAGGCCUACCAUGGUUGCAACGGGUAACGGGGAAU